rnacentral:rRNA from 1 species
GAUGAACGCUGGCGGCGUGCCUAAUACAUGCCAGUCGAGCGAACAGACGAGGAGCUUGCUCCUCUGACGUUAGCGGCGGACGGGUGAGUAACACGUGGAUAACCUACCUAUAAGACUGGGAUAACUUCGGGAAACCGGAGCUAAUACCGGAUAAUAUAUUGAACCGCAUGGUUCAAUAGUGAAAGACGGUUUUGCUGUCACUUAUAGAUGGAUCCGAGCCGCAUUAGCUAGUUGGUAAGGUAACGGCUUACCAAGGCAACGAUGCGUAGCCGACCUGAGAGGGUGAUCGGCCACACUGGAACUGAGACACGGUCCAGACUCCUACGGGAGGCAGCAGUAGGGAAUCUUCCGCAAUGGGCGAAAGCCUGACGGAGCAACGCCGCGUGAGUGAUGAAGGUCUUCGGAUCGUAAAACUCUGUUAUUAGGGAAGAACAAAUGUGUAAGUAACUAUGCACGUCUUGACGGUACCUAAUCAGAAAGCCACGGCUAACUACGUG